GUCAAUGACCUCCCCACAGAGUGGGGAGGCUUGUGAGGGGUUCGCCCCUCGCAAGCCGGAUUGACCAGACGACACCUCCGAGCCAGUCGCGCCGAGAAAGCGAGCGUCGUGGCUGGUGCUGAAGAGGUGGGCGAUAGCACCAAGUGUUGAAGUUCGCACCCAGGGAUGCUGCCCCAGUUCCUGGCUCUGCA
rnacentral:sRNA from 24 species